rnacentral:rRNA from 1 species
GCUUGUCUCAAAGAUUAAGCCAUGCAUGUCUCAGCAUAAGCUUUUGCACGGUGAAGCUGCGAAGGGCUCAUUAAAACAGUUAUAGUCUGCUUGAUGGUUGUUUGUACAUGGAUAACUGUGGUAAUUCUAGAGCUAAUACAUGCAUCAAACCCCGACUUCUGGAAGGGGUGUAUUUAUUAGAUGGAAACCAAUGCGGGGCAACCCGGAAUAUGGUGAUUCAUAAUAACUUUCGGAUCGAUUUAUCGAUGCAUCAUUCAAGUUUCUGCCCUAUCAGCUUUGGAUGGUAGGGUAUUGGCCUACCAUGGCUUUAACGGGUAACGGAGAAUUAGGGUUCGAUUCCGGAGAGGGAGCCUGAGAAAUGGCUACCACAUCCAAGGAAGGCAGCAGG